UCUGCCCAGUGUCAGCCUGUUGACAACCCCAGGCAGGAGUCAUGGGAUCUUUGGAUGAGGGGAUAAAGUGAGGCCUCCAGUUGUCAUCCUAAACCCUCACAGACGGCCAUUAAACCAAGACUCUGCCUUUUUAUAACUCAAAGAAGUCAGCUGAAGUGGCUUAGAUGAGGACAUCCCUGUGGGUGUCCAGGAGUGUGACAGCUGUGCGUUUGUCAUCUAUGGCCUUUAUUAUGUUGAGGAGAAAAUUCUAGGUUUUUCAAGCCUGGCACAAAGGUUGCGUACUCAGAAGCCAUUCCAUUUAAUCUCAGCAUUUCUAUCUUCACUUGUCCGACCCUCCAUGAGGAGUUAAGUUCCCUGACAUCUUUGAAUUCUGUGAGAACACAUACCUCCUCAGUAUCUGGCACAGUGCUGCCAUUUCACAACUGAGGAGGCUUGGGAAAGGCAGAGAGGCAGGACAGCUCCAGAGUCUUGGAAUGGAUAAUAAACAUCAACAACAACAAUAAAACUAUGUGCUUUUUGUAUCA